rnacentral:misc_RNA from 1 species
GAUGAAGAACGUAGCGAAAUGCGAUAAGUAAUGUGAAUUGCAGAAUUCAGUGAAUCAUCGAGUCUUUGAACGCACAUUGCGCCCCCUGGUAUUCCGGGGGGCAUGCCUGUCCGAGCGUCAUUGCUGCCCUCAAGCACGGCUUGUGUGUUGGGCCCCGCCCCCCGGCUCCCGGGGGGCGGGCCCGAAAGGCAGCGGCGGCACCGCGUCCGGUCCUCGAGCGUAUGGGGCUUCGUCACCCGCUCCGUAGGCCGGGCCGGCGCCCGCCGGCGACCCCCCUCAAUCUUUUCAGGUUGACCUCGGAUCAGGUAGGGAUACCCGCUGAACUUAAGCAUAUCAAUAAGCGGAGGA